UUCGCAAUGCCCGAAAGGGUGACGAAGCGACGCCGCGUGUGGGAAGAAGGCCUUCGGGUUGUAAACCACUGUCGGGAGUUAAGAAGUGUAAGGGGGUUAAUAGUCUCCUUACUUGACGUUAGCUCCGGAGGAAGCCACGGCUAACUCUGUGCCAGCAGCCGCGGUAAUACAGAGGUGGCAAGCGUUGUUCGGAAUUAUUGGGCGUAAAGAGCACGUAGGCGGCCCUGCAAGUCAGCUGUGAAAUCCUUCUGCUCAACGGAAGAACGGCAGUUGAUACUACAGGGCUCGAGUGCGGGAGGGGAGAGUGGAACUUCUGGUGGAGCGGUGAAAUGCGUAGAUAUCAGAAGGAACAUCGGCGGCGAAAGCGACUCUCUGGCCCGUAACUGACGCUGAGGUGCGAAAGCUAGGGGAGCAAACGGGAUUAGAUACCCCGGUAGUCCUAGCCGUAAACGAUGGGCACUAAGUAGAGGGGUU
rnacentral:rRNA from 1 species